rnacentral:rRNA from 1 species
UACGGAGGGAGCUAGCGUUGUUCGGAAUUACUGGGCGUAAAGCGCGCGUAGGCGGCUUUGUAAGUUAGAGGUGAAAGCCCGGAGCUCAACUCCGGAACUGCCUUUAAGACUGCAUCGCUAGAACGUCGGAGAGGUAAGUGGAAUUCCGAGUGUAGAGGUGAAAUUCGUAGAUAUUCGGAAGAACACCAGUGGCGAAGGCGACUUACUGGACGACUGUUGACGCUGAGGUGCGAAAGCGUGGGGAGCAAACAGG